rnacentral:piRNA from 2 species
UGUGGGCAAGCUCACAUUAGCAAUGAGCUC